GCUAAACCGAAUAGGUGUGGAAAACAAAUCGAAUCUUUCACAUUGUCAUCUCAGACACAAUGAAUGUAUACUCUUUCCGUACUUAAUGGUGACCAUUUUCCUCUGUGUGGAGGAGGAGUCAGGUGGGACCAGUUUCCUCAUGGCCAUGAUGUUCCCGGCCCACUGGAACUUCUCAGAGUUGAUGAAGAAGAUGGGCUGCUUUACCCUGGCGUAGAUCUCCUCAUCCAGGGGGAACAUCCACGCGUCCAGGGCAAUGCCACACCCGAGGAGAUCAAUAGCAUAUACACUGAACAACAAUAUAAACGCAACAUGUAAAGUGUUGUUUUCAUGAGCUGAAAUUUGUUUACAUCCCUGUUGGUGGACAAAUUUGUUUACAUCCCUGUUAGUGAGAAUUUUUGCUUUGCCAAGAUGAUCCAUCCGACUGACAGGUGUGGCAUAUCAAGAAGAUGAUUAAACAGCAUGAUCAUUACACAGCUGUACCUAGUGGUGGAGACAAUAAAAGGCCACACUAACAUGUGAAGUUUUGUUACACAACACAAUGCCACAGAUGUCACAAGUUUUGAGGUCGUGUGAAAUUGGCAUGCUGACUGUAGGAAUGUCGACCAGAGCUGUUGCUAGAUAAUUGAUUGUUAUUUUCUCUACCACAAGCCGUCUCCAACCUAAUUUUAGAGAACCACAGAUGACGUGUAACCACGCCAGCCCAGGACCUCCACAUCUGGCUUCUUCACCUGUGGGAUCGACUGAGACCAGCCACCCGGAAAAGCUGUGGAUUUGCACAACCAAAGAAUUUCUUCACAAACUGUCAGAAACCAUCUCAGGGAAGCUCAUCUUCAUGCUUGUCGUCCUCACCAGGGAAUUCACCUGAUUGCAGUUUGGCGUCGUAACAAACUGCUGUGGGCAAAUGCUCCCCUUCGAUGGCCACUGACAAGCUGGAGAAGUGUGCUUUUCACGGAAGAGUCCCGUUUUCAGCUUAACCGGGCAGACCGCGUGUAUGGUGUCAUGUGGGCGAGCGGUUUGCCGAUGUCAACGUUGUGAACAGAGAGGCGUUAAGAGGGCUUCGAUCACUGUUGCUCCACCGAAAGAAUGGCCCAUCACUGCUAUCCGGCACAAGUCCAUAGAGUUCUGGGGAAGAGACUCGGCCCGGCCCACCCAGGAAACGCUGGAGCAGUAGCCAAAGAGGAAGCCAGUCCAGUGACUAGUAGGUUGUGCAGAGACACAUUCUAUUCCAGGUUAGAAUCUGGGACGUUUAUCAAUUAAACUGUUCAGUGACAAUUUCUUGUCAGUUCAAUGGCAUUUUAUUUGCAUUCUGUGUCCAGAAUUUACUUCUAGAUUAUCCAGUAAUUUGCCUUGCUUUUUCCUUUCGUUCUUAAAUCACCCAGCUUCACCUCAUUUGGCUCAAGUUAGCUAUUCGGCUGCUGAUCAGAAAUUCCUUGGGGCUUGUCAAUUUUUCUCAACUAUUUGGUGCUAUGGACAUUCUGUAAAAUAACACCACCAUUUUAGGAUGAUUGUUGACAUUUGUUUCAGUAGUUCUAAACAGAACUCUUUCAUCCAGGGCUUUUGCACCAGUCUAUUGCAUUUAUAUAAAACCGCAAGAUUGAUAUGUUCAAAAUGUUUUUGUAAUGUUUCUUUUUUGUAAUUUUGCCAGUGUGUCAAAAAUAAAGCACUAGAUUUA